AUUGGCCUCAGGAGAGCAUGGACAAACUUGUGGAUAGUGGCCUUCUCUUACUGCACCCUCCAUUUUGAUCAUUUUAAUGGAUGAGUUUAGGGUUCCUUCACUAGAAACAAGGACCAUUCCUGUAGUAGGCCCCAGCUCAUUUCUGUAAUUGACAUACUUCUAGCUGUACCACUUAUACCAUGACAAGAUCCAAGGGCAAAGCUGGUUGAUGAAUUUUAACUUUUAUAAGUUAAUUAUGAGAAUU